UAAUAUAUUAAAAAAAAAUAUUUAUUUCCACCAAAUAAGAUUUGUUAAUAGUUAAAAAAUAUUUUGUUGGUGGUCGGUGUUGAUAGAUGGCUAUACUUAAAAACAAUUAAUAAAAUGGAAGCUUUGCUACAAUCGUGGGAUUUAAGUGAGUUAUACUCGAUUUUUUGUGUAAACCAUAUAACUGACUUUGAAAUCCUUGGUGAAUUCCUUACUAAAACUCGAGAAGAGACCCAAAAAGAAGUAAUCCCUAGUGUUUGUUUACGACUUCGUUUAAAUAAAAAAUAUAAUGAAUAUAUUUCCCAUCACGAGAAGAUUAAUGUAAAACUUUUCUAAAAAUAAUAAGAGGAAUUUUUUAAAUAUUAAUAAUCCAGUGUGUAAAUACUAAUA